GAUGAACGCUGGCCGCGUGCCUAAUACAUGCAAGUCGAGCGAACGGACGAGAAGCUUGCUUCUCUGAUGUUAGCGGCGGACGGGUGAGUAACACGUGGAUAACCUACCUAUAAGACUGGGAUAACUUCGGGAAACCGGAGCUAAUACCGGAUAAUAUUUUGAACCGCAUGGUUCAAAAGUAAAAGACGGUCUUGCUGUCACUUAUAGAUGGAUCCGCGCUGCAUUAGCUAGUUGGUAAGGUAACGGCUUACCAAGGCAACGAUGCAUAGCCGACCUGAGAGGGUGAUCGGCCACACUGGAACUGAGACACGGUCCAGACUCCUACGGGAGGCAGCAGUAGGGAAUCUUCCGCAAUGGGCGAAAGCCUGACGGAGCAACGCCGCGUGAGUGAUGAAGGUCUUCGGAUCGUAAAACUCUGUUAUUAGGGAAGAACAUAUGUGUAAGUAACUGUGCACAUCUUGACGGUACCUAAUCAGAAAGCCACGGCUAACUACGUG
rnacentral:rRNA from 1 species